UAGCGGUGUUAGGGCACUAAGAAUUUUGAUUUCUUAAGAGAGGUUCAGUUCCUCCUGA
rnacentral:tRNA from 16 species